AGCGAACGCUGGCGGCAGGCCUUACACAUGCAAGUCGAACGGCAGCGGGGGAGAAGCUUGCUUUUCCUGCCGGCGAGUGGCGAACGGGUGAGUAAUACAUCGGAACGUGCCCUGUAGUGGGGGAUAACUAGUCGAAAGAUUAGCUAAUACCGCAUACGACCUGAGGGUGAAAGUGGGGGACCGCAAGGCCUCAUGCUAUAGGAGCGGCCGAUGUCUGAUUAGCUAGUUGGUGGGGUAAAGGCCUGCCAAGGCGACGAUCAGUAGCUGGUCUGAGAGGACGAUCAGCCACACUGGGACUGGGACACGGCCCAGACUCCUACGGGAGGCAGCAGUGGGGAAUUUUGGACAAUGGGCGAAAGCCUGAUCCAGCAAUGCCGCGUGUGUGAAGAAGGCCUUCGGGUUGUAAAGCACUUUUGUCCGGAAAGAAAUGGCUCUGGUUAAUACCUGGGGUCGAUGACGGUACCGGAAGAAUAAGGACCGGCUAACUACGUGCCAGCCGCCGCGGUAA
rnacentral:rRNA from 1 species